UACAGAGGUCUCAAGCGUUGUUCGGAUUCAUUGGGCGUAAAGGGUGUGUAGGUGGCGCGCUAAGUCGGGUGUGAAAUUUCGGAGCUUAACUCCGAAACUGCAUUCGAUACUGGCGUGCUUGAGGACUGGAGAGGAGACUGGAAUUUACGGUGUAGCAGUGAAAUGCGUAGAUAUCGUAAGGAAGACCAGUGGCGAAGGCGGGUCUCUGGACAGUUACUGACGCUGAGGCACGAAGGUCAGGGGAGCAAACGGG
rnacentral:rRNA from 1 species